AGUGAAAUUUGGAUUAAUACCUUAUAGUAUCAAAAAGCAGCAUUGUUUUAUGAUUAAAGAUUUAUUGCUAUAAGAUGACUAUGCGUUCUAUUAGCUAGUUGGUAUGGUAACGGCAUACCAAGGCUACGAUAGAUAGGGGUCCUGAGAGGGAGAUCCCCCACACUGGUACUGAGACACGGACCAGACUCCUACGGGAGGCAGCAGUGAGGAAUAUUGGACAAUGGAGGCAACUCUGAUCCAGCCAUGCCGCGUGUAGGAAGACUGCCCUAUGGGUUGUAAACUACUUUUAUAGAGGAAGAAACAAUAUUACGUGUAAUAUUCUGACGGUACUCUACGAAUAAGGAUCGGCUAACUCCGUGCCAGCAGCCGCGGUAAUACGGAGGAUCCAAGCGUUAUCCGGAAUCAUUGGGUUUAAAGGGUCCGUAGGCGGGUUUGUAAGUCAGUGGUGAAAGUUUUCGGCUCAACCGGAAAAUUGCCAUUGAUACUGCAAGUCUUGAAUUAUUGUGAAGUGGUUAGAAUGUGUAGUGUAGCGGUGAAAUGCAUAGAUAUUACACAGAAUACCGAUUGCGAAGGCAGAUCACUAACAAUUAAUUGACGCUAAGGGACGAAAGCGUGGGUAGCGAACAGGAUUAGAUACCCUGGUAGUCCACGCCGUAAACGAUGGUUACUAGCUGUUCGGACUUCGGUCUGAGUGGCUAAGCGAAAGUGAUAAGUAACCCACCUGGGGAGUACGUUCGCAAGAAUGAAACUCAAAGGGAAUUGACRGG
rnacentral:rRNA from 1 species